rnacentral:lncRNA from 1 species
GAAAAUGGGGGAGUAGCGUCUAAUAAUGGAUAGAUGGUUACAAGAAGAAAACUAACUCCCUAUGACUACUAUAUUACUAGUUAUCAGAUGAAACUACGACAUUUUCCAACUCUCAUUAUUUCUCAUAUUGGAAAGUAGGAAUUUUUGUGAGGAAGGGAGAGACUCUAAGGAUCAAUCGGAAUCCCAGACAGGACACAUCUCUUUAGAGACCUAAUCAAGUAAGUACCUAAUCUAGUAUUGUCUUUUCCUUUUCUACCUUCAAAACUUGUUAAUUUCCUAUAUCAAUUAUUUGUUAUAUAAGAAUAAUU